rnacentral:piRNA from 1 species
UCACUAGACAGUAUUUUAUGG